UACGUAGGGGGCAAGCGUUGUCCGGAUUUAUUGGGCGUAAAGAGCGUGUAGGCGGCCAAACAGGUCCACUGUGAAAACUCGAGGCUCAACCUCGAGAGGGUCGGUGGAAACCGUCUGGCUAGAGUCCGGAAGAGGAGAGUGGAAUUCCCGGUGUAGCGGUGAAAUGACGCAGAGUAUCGGGAAGAACACCCCGUGGCGAAGGCGGCUCUCUGGGAAUGAUCCU
rnacentral:rRNA from 1 species